AACGCGGAGCGAAGGCGAGGAGGAGGAAGACGAGGAAAAACAGGGGGACGAUGGAAAACGUCAAGAUGAGGAGGUAGAGGAGGUGGAAGAGGAAGAGGAGGACGAUACGUCGGCCGAGACAGAAGAGCAGUCCUCGCAGAGUUUGGAGGAUCUGACGGAGAAAGCCGCAGAGGAGACUCAGAGUCCCAAAUCUGACAAGCUCAUAGAAGAAGCUGUGCCUGAUGGAGAGCAGAAAGCAGCUCAAAUCACUGAGGAGCCUGAAACCACCGGUGAAGAGAAGUCAGGCGACAGCACCAAACCAGCCAAUGGGACGGCAGACCGCAACUCAAAGAGCCAAUCAGGCUCCAACAAAAAGCUCUCCAUCUUCAGGCGGCUGUCCUUCUCCAGAUCCAAGCAGGACCCAACCCCAGCAGAGGGCCCAGUCAGCGGGGACACUGCAGAGCCUCCGUCCCCUGGCACCGGCGGGAGCGGCAACCCAGGAAUAAACCGAAGUGGAGCACAGCCGAAAUCUACGCCCUCCGGAGCCAGAGGGCCUCGCUCCGGUGCCUGCACAGUACUGUGAUCCCCGGAGCCUAACUCUCCGGGGACCUUGAUUAUCUUGUCAGACCAAAGAGCGAAAGCUUCAUUAGUAGCAGCAAACUGUGUUUUUCAAGCCCUCAGAGACGAUGUAGUCCUGAGACACAGUGAGCGGUGCACAGUAUCAUGCAGUGAAGUGAAGCCACACCUCAGAUCCACAUGAGUAAAACAAGCUGCAGUCAGUUUCUCUGCUUAUCAGGAAGUUUGAGACUGAUGAGCAAAAUUUGACUCCCCCCUGAAAAUCUAAUUUCCUGCCGUAUUUUUAAUCUCUUACUUGUGUUCUCCAGGGUGUCAUUACACCGUGUCACCACUGUGAGGCUCUGGAUUCACAGAAGUAACAUUGGACUACCACUGACACCGCAAAAAAACAAAUAAUGCAAACCUCAGGGCUGCGACUAUUGAUGAUGUACAUCAGCAGAUUAUUUCCUGAUCUAUGAAUCACAAAUCAAGGAAAUACUCUGUAACCUGUGAGUUUUUAUUUUAAUUUCGGGUUAGUUACUAAAACAAUUUGCUUUUUAAUAUUCUGUCGAUUGGUUAAUCAAUUAAAUAACCAAUAGUUUAAGCUUUAUAAAAGCCAGUGUAACUGCUGUGAAUCCAAGUGACUGGUUUCACACUGAUACAUGUGAAGCAUUCCUUCUUAAGUUUCCGAUUUCCUUUUCUUUUUGCCUGUAUCUGGAGCCACCAGCACGCCAUCUCUCCGAGAGCAGCUCUAAAACCACUAAACUUCAAACCACUGUCUGUUCACAAGUGACCUACAGCUGAGCCUCCUCCACCAGUACGACCAGUACCGCCACGCUGCUGCUGGGAGGAUCUUAGCUUUUCAUUUGUUCCUGUGCGGUACCUUUCCUUCCCAGCAGCUGAACCUCAAAGUGUGUGCCUGCGUGUGUGUGUGUGUGUGAGAGUUUUAAACUGUGAGGAUGUAAAUAUUGUUAUUUAUUGCGAAAUGGUCCUCGAGCACAUUUGCACUUUUUGCCGUGAUGCAUUUUCAAGAGUUUUAUAUUCUGAUGUGUUGGUCUCAUUUACGAUUUUUGGAUUU